UUCAGAUCACAGUAGAAUCUAGUGGCAGUAGGAGGUGGAGUAGAUGUUUCUCGUUUUUAUUUGUUUGCUUGUUUUUAAUAUAAGAGGAACUAGGGGCUUGAUUCGCAGAGAAAUAGCACCUGGUGAGCAGUUCACAAGAGAACCUGGUGUGACACAAAUGUCACAGCAUCGAAUUUCUGAGAUGCGAUGACCACAUUCACUGAGAUUCUAUUCAUGCUCCAAAGCCAUGCUAAAACUUCAUCUGGAGGACUUCUUCUGGAUCUCCCCAGCUAUCCAUGCUUCUUGUGACAUAUUUCACUGCAACUGCUUGUUGGCCAGUCUUCUCACUAGAUGCUCAGCCUGGCAAAGGCAGGAGAUGCCUUCUUCACCUAUCUACUUCCAGCCCACAGCACUGAGCCUGGCACAUGGAGUCCAGGAAGCCGAAGUUCCAAGAUUCAUUCUCUCUGCCCACUUCCCGUCUCAAACCCCGACACGACUAAGGUGUCUUGCCUAAUAUUUACAACUUCAUGGACCAGGAACAGCAAAAAGGUCUAUUCCCGCAUGUUAAUUCUGACAGUUGCUGAGGAUGCUGGGCCUGCCCCUGGGCUAGACGGGAAAGGGAUCUGUGAUCAGUUAAUGAUGUCUGCCACAGGUGCAGCAAAGGAAAGUGGUCCUCUAGGCGCCACCGAUUUGCCAGCUCGAGCACAGACCAAAGUGGAAGAGAAGGAUGGGCCCCUAAAAGCCCAGGCCGAGCGGCAGGACACAGGCGUGGGGUUCUGACUCUCCAUUAUUCCUUGCCUCUAAGUUAGAACAUAGAUUCUAUAAAAGAGGAGCAAGUCUUUUCACUGGCAGACAUACUGCUGGCCAAUCUCCAUUUCCUUCAUGGCUCUGAUUAACUUAGCCCCAUGUCCCUCCUGGUCCCUUAGUCCCUUCGCUGUCUUCUCCCUCUACCAAUGUGUGUGAGGUGGGGAAGGAGUGGCGGUUAAUGUUGGGUCCUGAAUUUAGAGACAGGAAAUGUGAGUUAGCUGGGGAGCGAAGACAUGGGCCACCCACCUUCUGC